AGCCUUCUGAACCCAUGUCGAGAUCUCGUCACACACUAGACCACCAGGACUGACGAGAAUCCCAAGAUGAGUGAAGUG
rfam:Schistosoma haematobium scaffold642_20, whole genome shotgun sequence.